rnacentral:rRNA from 1 species
AAGUCGGUAGUCUAACCGCAAGGAGGACGCCGCCGAAGGUAAAACUGGUGAUUGGGGUGAAGUCGUAACAAGGUAGCCGUAGGAGAACCUGCGGCUGGAUCACCUCCUUU